rnacentral:rRNA from 1 species
CCUACGGGAGGCAGCAGUGAGGAAUAUUGGUCAAUGGGCGAGAGCCUGAACCAGCCAAGUCGCGUGAAGGAUGAAGGAUCUAUGGUUUGUAAACUUCUUUUAUAUGGGGAUAACAUGAGGAACGUGUUCCUGUUUGUAUGUACCAUAUGAAUAAGCAUCGGCUAACUCCGUGCCAGCAGCCGCGGUAAUAAGGAGGAUGCGAGCGUUAUCCGGAUUUAUUGGGUUUAAAGGGGGCGUAGGUGGUUCAUUAAGUCAGCGGUGAAAGUUUGUGGCCCAACCAUAAACUUGCAGUUGAAACUGGUUGACUUGAGUAUAUAUGAGGUAGGCGGAAUGCGUGGUGUAGCGGUGAAAUGCAUAGAUAUCACGCAGAACGCCGAUUGCGAAGGCAGCUUACUAAACUAUAACUGACACUGAAGCUCGAAGGCGUGGGGAUCAAACAGGAUUAGAUACCCCAGUAGUC